UCUGGUGAUGAUGGCAUGGAAGUAACACUCCUACCCAUUCCGAACAGGAAAGUUAAGAUCCAUAGCGCCGAAGGUACU
rnacentral:rRNA from 1 species